AGUGAACGCUGGCGGUAGGCCUAACACAUGCAAGUCGAACGGCAGCACAGUAAGAGCUUGCUCUUACGGGUGGCGAGUGGCGGACGGGUGAGGAAUACAUCGGAAUCUACUUUUUCGUGGGGGAUAACGUAGGGAAACUUACGCUAAUACCACAUACGACCUACGGGUGAAAGCAGGGGAUCUUCGGACCUUGCGCGAUUGAAUGAGCCGAUGUCGGAUUAGCUAGUUGGCGGGGUAAAGGCCCACCAAGGCGACGAUCCGUAGCUGGUCUGAGAGGAUGAUCAGCCACACUGGAACUGGGACACGGUCCAGACUCCUACGGGAGGAAGCAGUGGGGAAUAUUGGACAAUGGGCGCAAGCCUGAUCCAGCCAUACCGCGUGGGUGAAGAAGGCCUUCGGGUUGUAAAGCCCCUUUGUUGGGAAAGAAAAGCAGCAGGUUAAUACCCCGCUGUUCUGACGGUACCCAAAGAAUAAGCACCGGCUAACUUCGUG
rnacentral:rRNA from 1 species